UACGUAGGUGGCAAGCGUUGUCCGGAUUUACUGGGCGUAAAGAGCGCGCAGGCGGUCGUUCAAGUCGCGUGUGAAAGCCCCCGGCUCAACUGGGGAGGGUCACGCGAUACUGAUCGACUCGAAGGCAGGAGAGGGUAGUGGAAUUCCCGGUGUAGUGGUGAAAUGCGUAGAGAUCGGCAGGAACACCCAGGGGGAAACCAGCCGACUGGGCAUCUACUGACGCUGAGGUGCGAGAGCGUGGGGAGCGAACCGG
rnacentral:rRNA from 1 species